CUACGGAGGCACCAGUGGGGAAUUUUGCGCAAUGGGGGAAACCCUGACGCAGCAAUACCGCGUGAGUGAAGAAGGCCUUUGGGUCGUAAAGCUCUUUUCUUGGGGAAGAUAGUGACGGUACCCAAGGAAUAAGCACCGGCUAACUCCGUGCCAGCAGCCGCGGUAAUACGGAGGGUGCAAGCGUUGUUCGGAUUUACUGGGCGUAAAGGGCACGUAGGCGGCACAGCAAGUUAAGGGUGAAAUCCCGGGGCUCAACUCCGGAACUGCUCUUAAAACUGCUGAGCUAGAGAUAGUCAGAGGCGGGUGGAAUUCCGGGUGUAGAGGUGAAAUUCGUAGAUAUCUGGAGGAACACCGGUGGCGAAGGCGGCCCGCUGGGGCUAUUCUGACGCUAAGGUGCGAAAGCGUGGGGAGCAAACGGGAUUAGAUACCCUAGUAGUC
rnacentral:rRNA from 1 species